rnacentral:rRNA from 1 species
UGGGGAAUAUUGCACAAUGGGCGAAAGCCUGAUGCAGCGACGCCGCGUGAGGGAUGACGGCCUUCGGGUUGUAAACCUCUUUCAGCAGGGACGAAGCGCAAGUGACGGUACCUGCAGAAGAAGCACCGGCUAACUACGUGCCAGCAGCCGCGGUAAUACGUAGGGUGUAAGCGUUGUCCGGAAUUACUGGGCGUAAAGAGUUCGUAGGCGGUUUGUCGCGUCGUUUGUGAAAACCAGCAGCUCAACUGCUGGCUUGCAGGCGAUACGGGCAGACUUGAGUACUGCAGGGGAGACUGGAAUUCCUGGUGUAGCGGUGAAAUGCGCAGAUAUCAGGAGGAACACCGGUGGCGAAGGCGGGUCUCUGGGCAGUAACUGACGCUGAGGAACGAAAGCGUGGGUAGCGAACAGG